CUCGCAAAGCGGUCUCACACCAUUUCCUGCCCAGUUCCUUAUCCGCUGGGCGGCUUGGCUGUGCCCCACUGGCGAGGGUGGAAAUCUGUGUUAGGCGAUGCCUCGUUUCCACCGUCCAAGCCCUGAAAAAGAGGUUUACCAGCGACACCAUGGCACGGUUCGGAGCCCAGGUGGGUGCCUCCCUUUCCAAAGAUAUGUAUACAGAGACAGGACAUGACAGAAGCUGAGUGGGACAAUCAGCAGAAGAACUGCCUUCAUUCCCUAAUCUACCACACAGGGAGAAGAGAAACCAAAGUGUAAUUGAUACAAGGUCUCCAAUCUUCUAAACUCACUAGGACCUUCAGAGGAAUCCCAGGGUGCGUUGAAAUACCUCUGAAGCAUACCUUGGGCGUCCCCCAAAAGUCCUACUGAGGUGUUCAGAUGACAGGAGGCCGUAGGCAAUGCUCUUCUGUUGAAGAGGCCAGCAAUCAGACAGGUGUGAGCACAGAAUGGGGAAGGCACAGCAGGCUCCAAGCUCAUUUAGUGGUAUUGCUCUCAGAUCCAACCCCUUUCCCUGUAUGAAAAAUCCUUCUAACAGCUGCAGUAACAGAAAAGCUCAGGUUUUUUUUUUUAUAAAUGUAUUUUUAAAAGUCAGGAUUUUAAAGAUGUUCUAGAAAUUUGAUUUUUAAGUAAUUUUUUUUUAAAUUGUCCUUUUAACCAUUGAAGCUAGAUUGUCAAAUUAAAAAAAAAACAAGCACUACUACUCAAGAAAGCAGCCUAGAUAUGAAAUACUGUAUCCAAAUUCUGUUUGGAAAGCUUAGACUUUUUUUUGUUUAUAGUUUUUGCCUAUAUUAGUUUAUUUAAAUAAAUAUUAGUUUAUGA